UGAUGAGAAGGGGCGGUGCUUGUUGAGGGCCCGAACUAUAAAUACCGGUGAGCGGAUUUAUUCCGCCUUUCUCUCUGCCUAGAGAGCAGGCAGAGUGUUGGAGGCAUGACAGGAGCUGGCCUGGGACCUAUGCCAUGGGGACCUGCUGCAAUCACUGGAGAGCGCCUACCCGCUGCUGCUGACCCAUUGCCAGCUGCUUUUCUUUUUGUAAAGGGUGGGGAGAAUGGUUAAUAAAACAUCAGAAAAAAACUGUGAAAACUUUAUUUCCUUAUUGUGCUUUCUUGCACUGUCUUUGAACUGGUGAAGUGUCUGGCUGAUGGCUUCACUGGCUGAGCAACAGUGCCACAGGAAAAAACUUGUUCAUAACUGGUGCUGCUGAGUUAAAAUCUGAGUGGCUCUUUUAAGAUCAAGUAACAAUGUUAUUAUUGCACCUUGUGAAUUUAAUUAUGGUCAUCAAUUAAGAUUUAAGCCCUCCCCUUCCUGAAUGAAAUUUCCCUUGACUUCUGAGAGACAUGCCUGUCUGAUCAAAAUUAAUAUGAUCACUACACACUUGCUAGACUUUUUCAUAGUGUGUCCUUAAGACCUUGGCACACCCUUUGUAAAUUACCUCUUCCUGUGAUGGAAUAAAGGUAGUAUUAGGUAUACCAUACUUGGAGCUUGGUGAUUUAUAAUAUACAAUUUUGCAUUAUGUAUAAGGGGGUAGAUUAGAAUAGUUUGCAGCAAGGUAGUCCCCCUCUGAUGCCCAAACAUGUCCUGUCCUUGCUUACUGUACAAUUGGUGCAGUGAGGGAGGAAGAGCUAGCUUAAGGGUGGUGCUCUCCCUGCAACAUGGCCCCUGAACUGUCCUCUGUGCCCUUAUGUAAAUUCCCAGGAGGGAAUUCCCCCAAGCAAUAAAAACAGGGUAAAUAGCUAAACACUGGGUGAAAAGUGAAAUGCACUCAUGCUGGCAGGAUCUAAAGUGUCCUAAGGCUAUAAUAGGACAACUGAACAGAGCUGUUGCACAAUGGAAUAAGAUGCAGUUGACACUACACAGGAAGUGGAUAGGGAAAUAAUUUUGUCUCCCAUACAUAAAUUGGGUUGUUGCCCAAUUCUAUAGUAGCUUUAAAAUCUAUGUAUAGAGUUUUUCCCAAGUUUGACUUCACUGUUUUUCUGCAAUGUAGACCACACACAGGAAAGAAAGUUGUGUAAACAGUAUUUGAACCACACUGUUGAGCAGAGCCUAGUGAUUGUAACUAUUAAGGUUCUUCCUUGGCAGUUCUAAGGCAUCUUUCAAGGGUAGUGGCCAUCUUAUCGCUCAUGAUCAGUGAGUUUGUCCUUCCACCUCUGGUAAGGCAUACUGACUUAAAGAGGAAGACUUGGCAGCAGCUAGAAUUGUGCUUAGGACUAGACAAAGGGAUACCUUUCAGAGAGGAGCCAUUUUUUGUCUUUGACCAAUAUUUUGAGAGCCACAUCACAUGUAAAGCUUAAAGUUAGAAUUUAUCAACUAAUGAUUGAACAUAGUUACUACUACUCACCAAUACUUUUAAUGUGACUUCUGCUGUUUGAAUUUGACUAUGAAUAGGAGGGAGCUAUGUUGUGUGUGGUUGCAGCCAAUAUAUAUGUGCACACACCAUCUGUAUGGCCCUCCAGAUGGGCUACAGCUGUGCUCUGAGUGCACUGCAAGUGGGCCAUGGAUUGUGAACCACUGGAUUAAGGAAUCCUAGGACCUCCCAUACCAAAUCAGACUAGUGGCCCUUCUAAAUCCAGUUUCCUAAUUGUAGCCUGUACCCUGUUUCAAGAAAUGCUGAAGUGGCCAAUUGGGAUAAUGUCUUAUGGUUUAAAAGAAGAUUUACCAUUUUCCUCAUCUAAUGCACCUAAAAUAUUCUUUAUCCAUAUACAUCCUUUUAAAUUACAUCUACAGCCUCUACAGUUGGAAUACUUUUACAUAAACUUCCUACUGGAACUAAAUGAACCCAUUUAUCCAUUACAGUGGCUUAGAAUUCAAAACUGAUUUUUAAGCUUUUAUUUUCAAAGUCAGAAUAUUUGUUUUAAAUCCCUUAUCCCAAAGCAUCAGUCUCCAUAGCCUCAUAGUGCAGCUUGAAUUGAACAUACAAUGAAAAUGAACUCCUGGAGAAAUUGUAUGAGUGGGGAACAACAUGAAAGUGGCUUCCCAAAUAUGUCUUUUGAAAACUUGGGUGUCUGGCACAAACUCAAACUACUGGUCAAACAAAAUUAUGCAGAAAUAACUUACAAGCUAUGUAAUCUGUCUGACAUGGGAUAACUUUAUUUCAGAAAACAAAGCAAGCCAAUUGUAGUUACCCACAUAGUUUGAUUAGGAAGUGCAAUACGACAAUUGUGUAACAAAUCUGGAUAUCUUUACACAUUAGUGCAUCUAGUCCUCUGACAUAAUUCAGUUAUUGCACACACAAAUCUCAUA